rnacentral:lncRNA from 1 species
AGCUCUGUUUUCCCUGAACACUACUCUCUUUUCUAAGAAGACAUUCAUCUCUUUUCUGAGAAGGCAUUUCUGCAAAGGCAUUCAUCAUCAUCAGAACUUCCAAGAUGGUGGUGAGCCGCUUCCAAGAUGGUGGCAGGCCGCUUCCAAGAUGGUGGCAAGUCUCGUGUUCUCUGACCUGGGGUUCUUGGCCUCAUGGAGUCCAAGGAAUGGAAUCUUGGGUCAUGCGCUACAGCUGUCAUACUGAAAUCAUGAAGCUAAAGGCUACAGAGGGCUACUAGAAGCCUGAGUUUCUGAAGACUGUGUGGAACCAUCAAAGCAGCCCUGAAUAUUUCCCUUGAGACUUUUCCAUUAUAGGAAGGGCAAAUAAAUAGAUGAUGUAUGAUGUAUGAUGUUUUUACUUAG